ACCGGAGACUGGGUGCAUAUUCACCUGCUGAGCAUCGUCCUCCUGCCCCCUCACGAUGUCCCUCCCAGACCUGGAAAUGCAGGGACCCUGGAGCGUAAACGCCACUGAGGAGCUUACGAUGAAACCAACACCUUCGUGCUUCAGGAAGACUCGGGCCCUAGAGCAGAAAUAACCGAAGCCCCACGUUCCAGUCGCGGGAUGCGUGAUGCGGGAGGGAGAUGGAUGGACUGAGCCAGAUGGACAAGGGUUUUCAGACUUGCCAGGUUUACUUUGCCCUCAGCACCCAGCAUCCUUCCCUGAGCGGCCGGAGAGAACGGCGCGGGAUGCGGAUGAGGCAUCCAGGCUUCAGUGUAAAGGUUCGACCACUUCCCGGAGCCUCGGUUCACCGUGUUGGUGGUUCCAGAACCAUCUCCUGGCUCCCACUCCCCUGCCCCUUGCCCUACAGCACCCACAGGCGCACCCUUGCUGCUGAGGAGCCUGGGCCGUCCGUGCUCUUCCGCAAAGCCUGCAUUCACCAGACGCCAACUUCGCGGCAGAAUCCCGGAGCCUGACUGUGGACCAGGCACAGAAACCCCGGAUGUCGUCCUUCCCUCUGGGCGCCGGGCCGGGGCCUCAGGUGCAUGUGCACACUCGCUGGGAAGCUGCUGAAGGGCGGUUUCUCCGCUCAGAACUCGAGGAAACGCCCGGCCCUGUGGCGGCAGAAGCACCGGCCGCCCCGGCCCUCCCGCUGCCCGGCUGGGCCGCUGCUGUCCCCCGUCCCCGGGAAGGUCUGUCCCGAGGCGGAGCCGGUGUGGCGGGUCGCUGCUUUCGUGAGAUGCUCCAAGACAGCCACGGCCAAAGGCAAAAUACGUGGGAAAGGCUGCGGACUCCGCCGCACCCGCGGCCUUUGGGAGAUACGUGGCGAAAGAGCAUUUUUUAAAAAACCCCCUGGCAACUUUUUUUUCCGGCAUUUUUAACCCCGGUGCUUUCUGAGGCGAUAUCGAUUAACAACCAGCAGAGGCAGAGCCUCGGAAGACACGCGCUGGAAGGCGCCGCCGGCGACCAGGCGCGGCAGGUGGCGGAGGCGGGAAGGAGGAAGCGGUUCUGGGGGCGCGUCCCUCGCAGGGGUUGCAGCACGUGCCAGGUGGGGGGAACCCACGUGGGACAGGAAACCCCAGGUCCUGAAAAGGUGGCACCGCCUCCUGACAGAACCCGAGCAGCCGUCAAGGGUAACUGGUGCCGCAUGGGGCAGGUGGCUCCGUUUGACAAGAGCUAAGAUGGCUGAGAAGACCAAGAAAAUCCCAAAUCGAAAGAAACAGGACCCCCCGUCCACGAAGACAUUAGCUGCCUCUUCACACAGACAAGAGGUGAACUCUUUCGGGGCGGCCCCUCGGCCCCUCGGUCUAUCCCUCGAAGCUCCUUUCACGUUCUCACCACCAUCCAGACAAACUCCCCGUCUGGGUCCCGAGAACUCCCAGGCCGCGGUGUUUCCAGCAAGUGCAGGGUGGGGCGCAGGAUAGACGCCACGGUGUGUGUCUGCGGCGCACAAUCUGCUGUUCCAACCCGCGGACGUGUCCCUUGCAUCUGCCACCACAAAGUCAUGACCGUACCCACCCCUCCCGAAAUAUGCUUGCAUUCCGGCAAUUUCUCCUCCCCUACCCCCUCUCUCCCGCUGCUGGUCCUGAGGAAACCGUGGGUCUGCUUCUGUGGCUGAAACAUCAUUUGCAUUUUGUGCGGAGUUGCGUCCUAGGGACUCUCGGUCGGACUUCUUCCACUGGUUUUCAGCAUGAUCAUUUUGAGAUUCAUCAGCGCGGCAGCACGCGUUCAUACCUGGUUUUACUUCCGGUGAGCGUGCCAUGGGGAGGUUAUCCGUUCCUCUGUCGGCGACACCGAGGCUGUUUCCAGUACUUGGCUUUUACAAAUAGGGUUGCUAUGAACAGGUGUAUGCAGGGCUUUGACCAGGUACACGUCUUCGUUUUACUGGGUUAAACGCCUAGGAUGAAAAACACAGCAGGUUUUGCAUGUAUUCGUCUUUAAGAAACUUGCAGGCUGUGUUCCAGAGGGACGGCUACUUCAGUGCCCACCAGCACGCGGAAGAGUUCCAGUCGCUUCACCGCCUCACCCACACUGGGUGUGGUGGGUCUGUUGGGCGUGAGCACUGUCUAGGGUGGGGUGUGCGCUCCCCGUAGUUUUCGCCUGUGUUUGCCGUGACGACCAAUGCCACCGACACCCUAAUUUGAAAGACCUGUGCUGUCUUUGGGGAAGUGUCUGCUCAGCCACCUGGUCUACUUUCAGCUGGCUCUUUCUCUCCCGACUAAUGGGUUUUCAGUGGCCUGUCUGUUUUGAGUACGGUCCUGGUGAGAUGCAGGCUUUUGAGGUGUCUUCUGCCGCUCUUCCACCCCCUUGAUGUUUUUCUUCAAAGGCUUCUCCCUCGGCUCAGUUCUGCGGCGGUGACGUCCAGGAGGCCGCAUGCAGACCCCAGGUCAGCCAGGUGCCACUCUCUCCCGGCUUUCUGAGGUUCGGAGCCUCCAGGGGGCCUUGCAGCUCUGUGCACGUGAGGGUGACAGCCUGGGUCCCCUCGCUCAGCAGAGGGGAAAACGCCGAAGUGCUGGGGGAGGAGAAGCAACGCUGAGUGACUGAGGGAGCCAGGGUUUGCAGCAAUGGGAACUGUCAGGAAUGUGCUCUCUUAAUGCAGAAGUGGAAUCGAUCCCGGGCCUGGCCCGCAGCAGGCAAAGAGGCCUCCUUCCUGGAGGGGCACGGGAGCGCGAGCGAGGCCAAGGCGGUGCAGGUGGGAGGGUGGGCUCACCGUGACAUCUGUACUCGGAGUCCCCGGAGCCCUCCGGAUGCUAGGGCGAGUUCAGGGGUCUCUCCCCGUCCCUCGCUGACCCCCAGGAGCCCUUCCAGAGCCGCAGGCUCCCAUCCAAGGGGAAGCGCUUCCUAGACGAAAACGACUCUCCCAUAGAGCGCGCGUUCCAAAGUGGUCAUUAGAGAGCAUGGAAAACUCCUCCUGGAAAGAGCUGGAAAGUUCUCAUGGAAACUAAGUUGGACUCGCACAUUGGAAAUCAGUCACCUGCGAUAUUUAAAAAUGAAGCUAAGCUGUCUGAGUGUACAUUUCAGAAAUGCAGCUGGAGCUGCCCAAUAAAAAUAUUUAAAACAU
rnacentral:lncRNA from 1 species